rnacentral:rRNA from 1 species
AGCCGCGGUAAUACGGAGGAUCCAAGCGUUAUCCGGAAUCAUUGGGUUUGAAGGGUCCGUAGGCGGUUUAAUAAGUCAGUGGUGAAAGCCCAUCGCUCAACGGUGGAACGGCCAUUGAUACUGUUAAACUUGAAUUAUUAGGAAGUAACUAGAAUAUGUAGUGUAGCGGUGAAAUGCUUAGAGAUUACAUGGAAUACCAAUUGCGAAGGCAGGUUACUACUAAUGGAUUGACGCUGAUGGACGAAAGCGUGGGUAGCGAACAGGAUUAGAUACCCUGGUAGUCCACGCCGUAAACGAUGGAUACUAGCUGUUGGGAGCAAUCUCAGUGGCUAAGCGAAAGUGAUAAGUAUCCCACCUGGGGAGUACGUUCGCAAGAAUGAAACUCAAAGGAAUUGACGGGGGCCCGCACAAGCGGUGGAGCAUGUGGUUUAAUUCGAUGAUACGCGAGGAACCUUACCAAGGCUUAAAUGUAGUUUGACCGAUUUGGAAACAGAUCUUUCGCAAGACAAAUUACAAGGUGCUGCAUGGUUGUCGUCAGCUCGUGCCGUGAGGUGUCAGGUUAAGUCCUAUAACGAGCGCAACCCCUGUUGUUAGUUGCCAGCGAGUCAUGUCGGGAACUCUAACAAGACUGCCAGUGUAAACUGUGAGGAAGGUGGGGAUGACGUCAAAUCAUCACGGCCCUUACGCCUUGGGCUACACACGUGCUAC